AAUAAAUAAAUAAAAUCUUUAAAAAUAAUAAUAAAAUAAAAUUCUGAGUUGUGCCACUGGCACUUGGGUCACUUUUAGAGCAUUUUCAUCAGCCCCAAAAGAAAUCUGGUACCCGUUAACAGUCACUCCCCAUUUCCCCCAAACUUCCCCAUCUCUAAGUAACCAUUUAUCCACUCUAGAUGUGCCUACUCCAGACAUUUUGUAUAAGUGUAGUCAUAAAAUAUAUGACCUUCUGUGACUGCCACUUUGACUUAGCAUAAUGCUUUGAAGGUUUAUUCAGUGCUAUAGCAUGAAUCAGCAUUUCCUUCCUUUUUAUUGCUAAAAGACAUUUUGUUGUGUGGAUAGACCACCUUUUAUUUAACCAUUCACCAGCUGAAGGACGUUUGGGUUGUUUUCACUUCUGGCUGCUGUGACUACUUCUGCUGUGAGCAUUUGUGCCCAAGUUCUCGUGUGGACAUAUGGUUUUCUUUCUCUAGGAGUGGAAUUGCUGGAUCAUCAGCCUAGUAAAUUCUUAAGGGGUAAGGGUGCCAGAAUAGACAAAAGAUCAUAGAUGCUCACCGACUUUGAAGCCUAAAGGUGCAAUCUCUGACUUCUGACCCCGUCACGGAUCGUAGAUGCUCACUGACUUUGAAGCCUAAAGGUGCAGUCUCUGACUUCUGACCCCGUAGCUGAUGUAGUCAGGGUGUUGACCAUCCUGUGUGCUCUGUGUGCCCUACCUUGGCUUCAUUUAGGGGGUGUCAUUAAGUACUGGCCAGCUUGGUAUCCACAGAAACGAGAAGCCUUUGGGAGCGUUUUGGAGUGAAAUGACAAGAAGAGGAACCUUAAGAAGAUUUGUGGGUCUUUGCUUGACUGGUCCUUAGUUUUCUUUCUCUUAUAACAGUGGAAGGCUGUGGACAAGGUGGCUCCCAAGCCACGCCCCUCCAUGCAGCCCCUCCUUUCCCUCAGUGACUCGCUCACAGACUUCUUCCCGCAGGAAUUAGCCUCACCCCACCUCCUUGCCACCAGUGGAGAACAGUUCAUAUCCUCACAAUAUGUCUCAGGCUUUUAUUUUUAAAUUAAAUUUAAAUUCUUCACUUUGAGAUAAUUGUAGAUUCUCCAGCAGUUUA